rnacentral:rRNA from 1 species
UAAGCAAUUAUACAGCGAAACUGCGAAUGGCUCAUUAUAUAAGUUAUCGUUUAUUUGAUAGUACCUUACUACUUGGAUAACCGUGGUAAUUCUAGAGCUAAUACAUGCUAAAAAUCCCGACUUCGGAAGGGAUGUAUUUAUUAGAUUAAAAACCAAUGCCCUUCGGGGCUCUCUGGUGAUUCAUGAUAACUUCUCGAAUCGCAUGGCCUUGCGCCGGCGAUGGUUCAUUCAAAUUUCUUCCCUAUCAACUUUCGAUGUUUGGGUAUUGGCCAAACAUGGUUGCAACGGGUAACGGAGGGUUAGGGCUCGACCCCGGAGAAGGAGCCUGAGAAACGGCUACUACAUCCAAGGAAGGCAGCAGGCGCGCAAAUUACCCAAUCCCGACUCGGGGAGGUAGUGACAAUAAAUACUGAUACAGGGCUCUUUUGGGUCUUGUAAUUGGAAUGAGUACAAUUUAAAUCCCUUAACGAGGAACAAUUGGAGGGCAAGUCUGGUGCCAGCAGCCCGCGGUAAUUCCAGCUCCAAUAGCGUAUAUUAAAGUUGUUGUGGUUAAAAAGCUCGUAGUUGAACCUUGGGCCUGGCUGGCCGGUCCGCCUCACCGCGUGUACUGGUCCGGCCGGGCCUUUCCCUCUGUGGAACCCCAUGCCCUUCACUGGGUGUGGCGGGGAAACAGGACUUUUACUUUGAAAAAAUUAGAGUGCUCCAGGCAGGCCUAUGCUCGAAUACAUUAGCAUGGAAUAAUAGAAUAGGACGUGUGGUUCUAUUUUGUUGGUUUCUAGGACCGCCGUAAUGAUUAAUAGGGACAGUCGGGGGCAUCAGUAUUCAAUUGUCAGAGG